rnacentral:rRNA from 1 species
GUGGGGAAUUUUGGACAAUGGGCGCAAGCCUGAUCCAGCCAUGCCGCGUGCAGGAUGAAGGCCUUCGGGUUGUAAACUGCUUUUGUACGGAACGAAAAGACUCUGGUUAAUACCUGGGGUCCAUGACGGUACCGUAAGAAUAAGCACCGGCUAACUACGUGCCAGCAGCCGCGGUAAUACGUAGGGUGCGAGCGUUAAUCGGACUUACUGGGCGUAAAGCGUGCGCAGGCGGUUAUAUAAGACAGAUGUGAAAUCCCCGGGAUCAACCUGGGAACUGCAUUUGUGAAUGUAUAGCUAGAGUACGGUAGAGAGGGAUGGAAUUCCGCGUGUAGCAGUGAAAUGCGUAGAUAUGCGGAGGAACACCGAUGGCGAAGGCAAUCCCCUGGACCUGUACUGACGCUCAUGCACGAAAGCGUGGGGAGCAAACAGGAUUAGAAACCCGGGUAGUCC